rnacentral:rRNA from 1 species
AUUGAACGCUGGCGGCAUGCUUUACACAUGCAAGUCGGACGAGUGGCGGACGGGUGAGUAAUGCAUCGGAAAGUACCGAGUAAAGGGGGAUAACUGGCGGAAACGACAGCUAAUACCGCAUAGCAUUAGAUCUGCCGAUGUCGGAUGAGCUUUUUGGGGGGGUAAAGGCACACCAAGGCGACGAUCAGUAGCGGGUCUGGGAGGAUGAUCCGCCACACUGGGACGUAGACACGGCCCAGACUCCUACGGGAGGCAGCAGUGGUGAAUUUUGGACAAUGGGCGCAAGCCUGAUCCAGCCAUGCCGCGUGUCUGAAGAAGGCCUUCGGGUUGUAAAGGACUUUGGGCAGGGAAGCGUUACCUGAAGAAUAAGCACCGGCUAACUCCGUGCCAGCAGCCGCGGUAAUAC